CUUCCGCUUUUCUUUCUUUCUUUUUUGACAUUUUCUUUGCUGUUUCUUUCGUUCCUUCUUCUUUUUUUCAUUUUAUUCAAUCAUUCAUUCAACAUUUUCUCCCUUCUUCCCUUUUUGACUUUCUUUUCCAUUUUUCUCUUUUUCCUUUCAUUUUACAGUUUAUUUAUUAAUUAAUUUUCUUUCUAUCUUAUUUAUUUAUUUAUUAGUUUUUUUUCCAGAUCAUUCAUAUUAGUGUGCUGCUUUGUAUUAGUGUGUGUUUGUGUAUUUUAGUGUAUGUUGGAGAGUAUUUGUGUAUAUUAGCAUGUAUUAAUGUUUGUUAGUGUGUUGGUUUGUAUUAGUGUGUCAUGUAUUAGUGUGUAUUGCUGUGUAUUAGUGUGUAUUGGUGUGUAUUAGUGUGUAUUGCUGUGUAUUGGUGUGUGUUGGUGUGUAUUAGUGUGUGUUGGUGUGUAUUAGUGUGUAUUAGUAUGUAUUGGUGUGUAUUGCUGUGUAUUGGUGUGUGUUGGUGUGUAUUAGUGUGUGUUGGUGUGUAUUAGUGUGUAUUGGUGUGUGUUGUUGUGUAUUAGUGUGUGUUGGUGUGUAUUAGUGUGUAUUGGUGUGUAUUGGUGUGUGUUGGUGUGUAUUGGUGUGUGUUGGUGUGUAUUAGUGUGUGUUGGUGUGUAUUAGUGUGUAUUGGUGUGUGUUGUUGUGUAUUAGUGUGUGUUGGUGUGUAUUAGUGUGUAUUGGUGUGUAUUGGUGUGUGUUGUUGUGUAUUAGUGUGUGUUGGUGUGUAUUAGUGUGUAUUAGUGUGUAUUGCUGUGUAUUAGUGUGUAUUGCAGUGUAUUGGUGUGUGUUGGUGUGUAUUGCUGUGUAUUAGUGUGUAUUGCUGUGUGUUGGUGUGUGUUGGUGUGUAUUGGUGUGUUUUGGUGUGUAUUAGUGUGUAUUGCUGUGUAUUAGUGUGUAUUAGUGUGUAUUGCAGUGUAUUGCUGUGUAUUAGUGUGUAUUGCUGUGUAUUGGUGUGUAUUGUUGUGUAUUGGUGUGUAUUAGUGUGUAUUGGUGUGUGUUGUUGUGUAUUAGUGUGCAUUAGUGUGUAUUGCUGUGUAUUAGUGUGUAUUGCAGUGUAUUGCUGUGUAUUAGUGUGUAUUGCAGUGUAUUGGUGUGUAUUGGUGUGUAUUAGUGUGCAUUAGUGUGUAUUGCUGUGUAUUAGUGUGUAUUGCUGUGUAUUGGUGUGUGUUGUUGUGUAUUGGUGUGUGUUGGUGUGUAUUAGUGUGUAUUGAUGUGUGUUGUUGUGUAUUAGUGUGUAUUGGUGUGUAUUGCUGUGUAUUAGUGUGUAUUGCUGUGUAUUAGUGUGUAUUGGUGUGUGUUGUUGUGUAUUUGUGUGUAUUAGUGUGUAUUGGUGUGUAUUAGUGUGUAUUAGUGUGUAUUGCUGUGUAUUAGUGUGUAUUGCAGUGUAUUAGUGUGUAUUGCAGUGUAUUGGUGUGUAUUGGUGUGUAUUGGUGUGUAUUAGUGUGUUGGUGUGUGUAUUAGUGUGUAUUAGUGUGUAUUAGUGUGCAUUGCUGUGUAUUGCUGUGUAUUAGUGUGUAUUGCAGUGUAUUGGUGUGUAUUGGUGUGUAUUGCAGUGUAUUGGUGUGUAUUGGUGUGUAUUGGUGUGUGUUGUUGUGUAUUGGUGUGUAUGGUUGUGUAUUAGUGUGUAUUAGUGUGCAUUGCUGUGUAUUGCUGUGUAUUAGUGUGUAUUGCAGUGUAUUGGUGUGUAUUGGUGUGUAUUGGUGUGUAUUGGUGUAAAGUGGUGUGUGUAUUAGUGUGCAUUGCUGUGUAUUGCUGUGUAUUAGUGUGUAUUAGUGUGUAUUGCUGUGUAUUAG
ensembl:lncRNA